GCUACUCUUUUGAAUGUUGAGGUUUUUGGGUAUCUGAAAGAAAAUGGUGUGCUUCAUCCAUUAGCAAAUUUGCAAGAGGAAGCAAAUGUCUUCAAACACGAAGGACAGCUCUGUGGGUGACAUUAAAAGCGAGCAUCAGGAUCCAGUGCUGCAAACUAUUGUGUUUCCGAAGCUGCCGGACUAGAUGUUUGUUGGCUUCAGUGCACAGGGCAGCUACUCUUUUGAAUGUUGAGGUUUUUGGGUACCUGAAAGAAAAUGGUGUGCUUCAUCCAUUAGCAAAUUUGCAAGAGGAAGCAAAUGUCUUCAAACACGAAGGACAGCUCUGUGGGUGACAUUAAAAGCGAGCAUCAGGAUCCAGUGCUGCAAACUAUUGUGUUUCCGAAGCUGCCGGACUAGAUGUUUGUUGGCUUCAGUGCACAGGGCAGCUACUCUUUUGAAUGUUGAGGUUUUUGGGUACCUGAAAGAAAAUGGUGUGCUUCAUCCAUUAGCAAAUUUGCAAGAGGAAGCAAAUGUCUUCAAACACGAAGGACAGCUCUGUGGGUGACAUUAAAAGCGAGCAUCAGGAUCCAGUGCUGCAAACUAUUGUGUUUCCGAAGCUGCCGGACUAGAUGUUUGUUGGCUUCAGUG